rnacentral:rRNA from 1 species
AGAGUUUGAUCCUGGCUCAGGACGAACGCUGGCGGUAUGCUUAACACAUGCGAGUCGAACGAGACAAAGAAAGUGCUUGCACGGAUCUUUUAGAAAGUGGCGAACGGGUGAGUAACGCGUGGGUAACCUGCCCUAUGGAAAGGAAUAGCCUCGGGAAACUGGGAGUAAUGCCUUAUAAUAUAGUGAAGUCGCAUGGCUUUGCUAUUAAACGCUCCGGUGCCAUAGGAUGGACCCGCGUCCCAUUAGCUAGUUGGUGAGAUAACAGCCCACCAAGGCGACGAUGGGUAACCGGUCUGAGAGGGCGAACGGUCACACUGGAACUGAGACACGGUCCAGA